GACGUAGGGUGCGAGCGUUGUCCGGAUUUACUGGGCGUAAAGGGCGCGUAGGCGGCUUGUUAAGUGUGAAGUUAAAGCUCCAGGCUCAACCUGGAAAUCAUUUUGCAUACUGGCGAGCUUGAGGAACGCAGAGGUAACUGGAAUUCCCGGUGUAGCGGUGAAAUGCAUUGAUAUCGGGAGGAACUCCAACAGCGAAGGCAGGUUACUGGGCGUCCCCUGACGCUGAGGCGCGAAAGCGUGGGUAGCAAACAGG
rnacentral:rRNA from 1 species